AUAACUGUGUGUGAGUGUAUGAAAAGGGUAUUUUAACGUAAAAGUAAAUGGAAUUACUUCAAAAGUAGUGACAAGGAAGACAACAGAUUAAUUUUAAUCCGUACAUUAUAAUUACAUCUGGAAAAAAUCGAAAUGAAGUUUUUCCCAAUUGUUUUUGUGUUAUGGAUUCCAAAUAUUUCAUGUUUUCUUAGAUGGCCACCUCACGACAACGUUGAAUACAGAGGAGUCAAUAUUCUAUCAAGAUAUAAAGAAAGGAGCAUCGUUUAUAGUCCAACAAGACAGAAAGCAGUCAGAAAGUAUGUUUGGCACUUUCAAUUCUGGUGAUGGCGGUUUUAUUCUACAAACACCAAAAGAAAGGUUUUUGCCGCUACAUUCCGGAAGCAACAGAUUUGAAAUAAUUAAAGAAAUUAGAAACCGAACAGAGUUUGGAGAUGGAUUACUAGU